rnacentral:rRNA from 1 species
UACGGAGGGUGCGAGCGUUGUCCGGAAUCAUUGGGCGUAAAGCGCACGCAGGCGGUCUGCCAAGUUCGGAGUGACAGUUUCCGGCUUAACCGGAAAAGGUCUUCGAAAACUGGUGGACUUGAGGACUUGAGGGGGAGACGGAAUUCCGGGUGGAGCGGUGAAAUGCGUAGAGAUCCGGAGGAACACCAGUGGCGAAGGCGGCUCACUGGCCCGAUACUGACGCUGAGGCACGAAAGCGUGGGGAGCAAACAGG